CCACAUUUUGGUCCACGUGGAAU
rnacentral:snRNA from 1 species